rnacentral:rRNA from 1 species
UUCGGCAGGCCUAACACAUGCAAGUCGAACGGUAACAGGAAUCAGCCUGCUGAUUCGCUGACGAGUGGCGGACGGGUGAGUAAUGUCUGGGAAACUGCCUGAUGGAGGGGGAUAACUACUGGAAACGGUAGCUAAUACCGCAUAACGUCGCAAGACCAAAGAGGGGGACCUUCGGGCCUCUUGCCAUCGGAUGUGCCCAGAUGGGAUUAGCUAGUAGGUGGGGUAAAGGCUCACCUAGGCGACGAUCCCUAGCUGGUCUGAGAGGAUGACCAGCCACACUGGAACUGAGACACGGUCCAGACUCCUACGGGAGGCAGCAGUGGGGAAUAUUGCACAAUGGGCGCAAGCCUGAUGCAGCCAUGCCGCGUGUAUGAAGAAGGCCUUCGGGUUGUAAAGUACUUUCAGCGGGGAGGAAGGGAGUAAAGUUAAUACCUUUGCUCAUUGACGUUACCCGCAGAAGAAGCACCGGCUAACUCCGUGCCAGCAGCCGCGGUAAUACGGAGGGUGCAAGCGUUAAUCGGAAUUACUGGGCGUAAAGCGCACGCAGGCGGUUUGUUAAGUCAGAUGUGAAAUCCCCGGGCUCAACCUGGGAACUGCAUCUGAUACUGGCAAGCUUGAGUCUCGUAGAGGGGGGUAGAAUUCCAGGUGUAGCGGUGAAAUGCGUAGAGAUCUGGAGGAAUACCGGUGGCGAAGGCGGCCCCCUGGACGAAGACUGACGCUCAGGUGCGAAAGCGUGGGGAGCAAACGGGAUUAGAUACCCUGGUAGUCCACGCCGUAAACGAUGUCGACUUGGAGGUUGUGCCCUUGAGGCGUGGCUUCCGGAGCUAACGCGUUAAGUCGACCGCCUGGGGAGUACGGCCGCAAGGUUAAAACUCAAAUGAAUUGACGGGGGCCCGCACAAGCGGUGGAGCAUGUGGUUUAAUUCGAUGCAACGCGAAGAACCUUACCUGGUCUUGACAUCCACGGAAGUUUUCAGAGAUGAGAAUGUGCCUUCGGGAACCGUGAGACAGGUGCUGCAUGGCUGUCGUCAGCUCGUGUUGUGAAAUGUUGGGUUAAGUCCCGCAACGAGCGCAACCCUUAUCCUUUGUUGCCAGCGGUCCGGCCGGGAACUCAAAGGAGACUGCCAGUGAUAAACUGGAGGAAGGUGGGGAUGACGUCAAGUCAUCAUGGCCCUUACGACCAGGGCUACACACGUGCUACAAUGGCGCAUACAAAGAGAAGCGACCUCGCGAGAGCAAGCGGACCUCAUAAAGUGCGUCGUAGUCCGGAUUGGAGUCUGCAACUCGACUCCAUGAAGUCGGAAUCGCUAGUAAUCGUGGAUCAGAAUGCCACGGUGAAUACGUUCCCGGGCCUUGUACACACCGCCCGUCACACCAUGGGAGUGGGUUGCAAAAGAAGUAGGUAGCUUAACCUUCGGGAGGGCGCUUACCACUUUGUGAUUCAUGACUGG